rnacentral:tRNA from 1 species
AGAGCUAUAGCUAAUGGCAAGCGGACAGUCUCCAAAACUGUUAAUCUGGGUUCGAAUCCUAGUGGCUCUG